UAAAGCCAACAUAAACCAGCUGAGCAC
rnacentral:sRNA from 1 species